AGCAGCCGCGGUAAUUCCAGCUCCAAUAGCGUAUAUUAAAGUUGUUGCAGUUAAAAAGCUCGUAGUUGAAUUUCGGGAUCAAUAUGUUGGUCGUGCCUCGGUACGUACUAGCUUAUUGGUUUCUCCUUUCUGAAGAACCAUGAUGUCAUUUAUUUGGUGUCGUGGGGAAUCAGGACUGUUACUUUGAAAAAAUUAGAGUGUUUAAAGCAGGCUCACGCUUGAAUACAUUAGCAUGGAAUAAUGAAAUAGGACGUUUGAUUCUAUUUUGUUGGUUUUUAGGAUCGACGUAAUGAUUAAUAGGGAUAGUUGGGGGCAUUAGUAUUCAAUUGUCAGAGGUGAAAUUCUUGGAUUAUUGAAGACUAACUACUGCGAAAGCAUUUGCCAAGGAUGUCUUCAUUAAUCGAGGACGAAAGUUAGGGGAUCGAAGACGAUCAGAUACCGUCGUAGUCUUAACCAUAAACUAUGCCGACUAGGGAUCGGAUGAUGUUAAUUUUUUAAUGACUCAUUCGG
rnacentral:misc_RNA from 1 species